UUUAAUAUUUACAUUUUUUUGAAUUGAUAUUUUGAGUUAUCGUGGUCAUUGACAACUAAGGUGAAAAUUCUCGAGUGUCUGAUAAUUAAUAUGAACACUUGUCAAUUGUGUUUCUUCAUGGUGUUAGAUAAGAUAAGAUAAAUAUUGAAACGAAUAUAAUAAACGUUCAAUUAAAACUUAAAAGCAGUUACGUUUAACUGGUGAAGAACUAAGAAAAUUCAAUAAAAAAACAAAACCAGUCGACAUGCGAUCUCGUUCAGAAACUCGCUGGACUUGUUCCGGAUCGGAAUAUGUGGAUAUAAAUGCAUAAUAUCGUUCCCUUGUAUAGUGAGCCUUAAUGGAAAUUGUUAUGGUAUUUUAAUGUUACACUACACGUCCCUGAUGAUUUUUAUCUGACGCAACAUCAGAAAUCCGUAAUGCAAUAUAACAGAUCGCCACGCUCAAUUUUAAGAUAAAAGCUUUAUAACAA